GGGUCUAUGAUGACAAACUAAAGGCAUGAAGAGAGGUGAUGGCAAAAUAUCAUGCUGAGGUUGAGGCUGAUGGGGCCC
ensembl:snoRNA SNORD115 Small nucleolar RNA SNORD115